AAGUCGUAACAAGGUUUCCGUAGGUGAACCUGCGGAAGGAUCAUUAUUGAAUAAACUUGGUGGGUUGUAGCUGGCUUCUCGAAGCAUGUGCACGUCCACCAUCUUUAUACAUCAUCCCCUGUGCACCUUUUGUAGUCUUGCGAAAUGGGAACAGCAAACUCUCGAUAAGCCUUUUCGGAUAUGGGGAAUGCAGCGUGAAAGCGUGGCUCUUCCCAAAAUGCUUGUGAUCAAUUUGCUCGACUAUGUCUUUUCAUAUACCAUGUAGUAUGUUGCAGAAUGUAUCAAUUGGGACACUGUGCCUAUAAAACACAAUACAACUUUCAGCAACGGAUCUCUUGGCUCUC
rnacentral:misc_RNA from 1 species